GAUGAACGCUAGCGUCAGGCUUAACACAUGCAAGUCGAGGGGCAGCACGGGAGUAGCAAUACAACUGGUGGCGACCGGCGCACGGGUGAGUAACGCGUAUGCAACCUACCUAUCAGAGGGGAAUAACCCGGCGAAAGUCGGACUAAUACCGCAUAAAACAGGGGCACCGCAUGGUGAUAUUUGUUAAAGAAAUUCGCUGAUAGAUGGGCAUGCGUUCCAUUAGGUAGUUGGUGAGGUAACGACUCACCAAGCCGACGAUGGAUAGGGGAACUGAGAGGUUGGUCCCCCACACUGGUACUGAGACACGGACCAGACUCCUACGGGAGGCAGCAGUGAGGAAUAUUGGUCAAUGGGCGAGAGCCUGAACCAGCCAAGUCGCGUGAAGGAAGAAGGAUCUAUGGUUCGUAAACUUCUUUUGCAGGGGAAUAAAGUGCAGGACGUGUCCUGUUUUGUAUGUACCCUGAGAAUAAGGAUCGGCUAACUCCGUGCCAGCCGCCGCAGUAACAC
rnacentral:rRNA from 1 species